rnacentral:lncRNA from 1 species
GUUGAUGGGGUGCAAAGAUGGCUGCCAUCAUGUAGGCAGAAGAUGGCCUCUUGAAAGAGGCAGCAAAGGCCUCUGGGUCCCUCUGAAGAUCAAUAUUCUGUCAAGUCCAAGAUGUGAAUGGUGGAAUUUCUCACUUACAUAGAAGGUUAAGAUGGAGGGACUCUUGGGAGGCCAACGUCUUCUUGUUUCGUAGGCUGCCAACCUCUCGAACAAUGAGGCAGGGAAAUGGGCACUGAGCAAGUUUCUGGGCCCACUAAGGCUUUCCUGACCUGACAACAGAGCUAUGGGCAGGGUAGAUCCUAUAACAUAGAACUAGCUUAGCUCCACAGUUAGCCAGCCCCAAACUCCACCCUGGGCUGCCAGCAAGCCCCAGCCCUGCCUUCCAAAGGCGGCUGUUCCUAAAGGACAAGAUAGGACAUAGGGGUGCCAGCCUGGGACAGACUGGUAACCAGAGCCUGGCCAUUCCCUCAGGCCUGAGUCCUCCAAGCCAGCCCUAGCCAGGCAGGGGUGCCCCCGGUGGCUGCCCAAGCUGGCUCCAGGUAGACUGGCAUAAGCCAGCCAGGCCCAAGCCAACCCAGGCAACCCUGCUCCUGGCAGGCCUCCAGACCACCUGGCUGGCGGCCCUGAGCCCAGUUCCCCCUGAGCCUGGCAGGGCAAGCCAUUUCCACAGUGCCACCCCAAGCCCCCAGCUGCCAUGUUCCAAGAUAAUGAAUGGGCCUCCGGCUUCCUUCUCCCCAAACCUUCCUGAAGCUCCCACUCUCCUCAGCGGCAUCAUAAGGAGUUGCUAUGGCAAUGGGACCACAGGCAGAGCAUGACAAUGAUUUGGGGCAGGGAGACGCAGUGGGAGCCAGGAGCUCCCCUGGACCCGGGCUGGCUUGUGUGCAGAGUUCCACAAGGGACAAGAGAUCCUGGCUGCCGGCCUCACAGCCAAGAAGGGGAAGGAGACCACCACAGAGCGGGGGGGCUUCCCCCCUGCACUCCCGGCUCCCUGCCCGUUCAGGGGAGCCCAGGGAGCUGCAGGAACCAGAGGGAUGCUGCCCCUCCCUGGCAAGUCCCGGUGUCCUCCAAGAGGCCUCUCCCAAAAGGCUAGGGUGGGAACACCUCUGUCCUGUCCUGACACCCCAAGCAGUGAGUGCUGAUGGACAUGAUUUCCAGGGCCAGGGGUGGGUCCUGCUCUCCUGUGCGCCCAGAGCCCAGCGCAGGCCUGGCACCGACAAGACAUCAAGGACUCAUGUUUGUGGGAAGAACGAGCAGGUAAUCCUAACGCUCGAACCCAGCUGGGCACAGAGUGGCAUCUUCACGGGGUCAGAGCAGAAAGAGCAUGGCCUGGGGACUGGUGACAUUCUCCAGGUCACAUGGGGAAUGAUGAAAGCAGGAGUUUCUAACUGGGGUCCCAGGGAGAGGGGACUUGGGAAUCUGUGAGCCUUGCAACUGCACCAAACUAGAUGAGAAUUUACGCAUGCUGUAGGGGAAGGGGGCGCAAACCUCCCUCAGGUAGAGGGCAGGGCUGCCUGGGGAGGGAAUGAGCUCCUUAUCAGCAAGGGGUGCAGGCACAGACUGGACCAGGUGAGGUCACAGUGGGUGAAUGGCAACCCUGAGUCUCCUUCUUGGACUCUCUGG